rnacentral:rRNA from 1 species
CUCAAAGAUUAAGCCAUGCAAGUCUAAGUAUAAGCAACUAUACGGUGAAACUGCGAAUGGCUCAUUAAAUCAGUUAUCGUUUAUUUGAUAGUACCUUACUACAUGGAUAACCGUGGUAAUUCUAGAGCUAAUACAUGCUAAAAACCCCGACUUCGGAAGGGGUGUGUUUAUUAGAUAAAAAACCAAUGCCCUUCGGGGCUCCUUGGUGAAUCAUAAUAACCUAACGAAUCGCAUGGCCUUGCGCCGGCGAUGGUUCAUUCAAAUUUCUGCCCUAUCAACUUUCGAUGGUAGGAUAGUGGCCUACCAUGGUAUCAACGGGUAACGGGGAAUUAGGGUUCUAUUCCGGAGAGGGAGCCUGAGAAACGGCUACCACAUCCAAGGAAGGCAGCAGGCGCGCAAAUUACCCAAUCCCGACACGGGGAGGUAGUGACAAUAAAUACUGAUACAGGGCUCUUUUGGGUCUUGUAAUUGGAAUGAGUACAAUUUAAAUCCCUUAACGAGGAACAAUUGGAGGGCAG